AUUUUUUUCAAAUGUUUUUGUUUUUGUCAAAUCCAAAAACUUAUCACUCUAUUUUAAAUGUUUUUGUUUUGGGGAGAUUGUAUAUUUACUUGAUGGACAAUGGAAGAAGCUUAUGUGUAUUAUUCAUAGUGUAAAAACAGUUAGAAGCUAGCGUCCUGUCCUUUGAUCGUUAGAGAGGUUAAGGUUCCAUUUGACUUUACACAUAUGAGAUCACUUUGUUAUUCCUAAACAAUCUUGGCACAAUAUACAGUUUCCCCUCGUGUUUUUUUUUGUUUGUUAAAAACAGUAUCCUCUUUUGUAUUUUGCAUGUUUUUUUGAAGAUUAAAUGCUUGCUUGUUUGCAAUCUUGAUGUGCAUGUUUGAUUGUUUGUUUCUUUGCUUGCGAGAUUGGAGAUGGUCAUCAGGAGGAGCUUGAGAAGUGAAAGGUGAUUGAAGCAGUAGGAUGACAAUGAAGAUGGUUCGUGACUCCAUUGAUGUCACUUAAAAGACAUGGUUUCUAGCAAACGAUCCAGUUUAUAUCAUGCUCACCGAGAAGCUUGAAGAAGAUAGAGGAGAGGCAAGGAGUUAACAAAUGGAGGCCAGAGUAUCUCAUGAUCGUGAAGAAGACUUACUCCUCCUUGAUAACAACUUCUGUAUCACUUUAACUCUAAAUCAAGUUGACCUUUCUACUUUGUAAAAUCAAAUUAUAUGAUGACCUUUGAAUACUUUUUUUUGUUGUUGUUUUUUACCUAUAAGCUAAACCUUUGUGUUGUUUUACCUAUAAAUCAAGUACUAUGUAAUUUUA